AUUGAACGCUGGCGGCAGGCCUAACACAUGCAAGUCGAACGAGUGGCGGACGGGUGAGGAAUGUCUGGGAAACUGCCUGAUGGAGGGGGAUAACUACUGGAAACGGUAGCUAAUACCGCAUACCAUCAGCUGUGCCCAGAUGGGAUGGGCAUGUUGGUGGGGUAACGGCUCAUAAAGGCGACGAUCCCGAGCUGGUCUGAGAGGCUGACCCUCCACACUGGAACUGAUACACGGUCCAGAAUCCGACGGGCGGCAGCAGUGGGGAAUAUUGCACAAUGGGCGCAAGCCUGAUGCAGCCAUGCCGCGUGUAUGAAGAAGGCCUUCGGGUUGUAAAGUACUUUCAGCGGGGAGGCGUUACCCGCAGAAGAAGCACCGGCUAACUCCGUGCCAGCCGCCGCGGUAAUAC
rnacentral:rRNA from 1 species